rnacentral:rRNA from 1 species
GGCGAGAGACACAUAGCGAACAAGUACCGUGAGGGAAAGAUGAAAAGAACUUUGAAAAGAGAGUUAAACAGUACGUGAAAUUGUUGAAAGGGAAACGAUUGAAAGUCAGUCAUACUAACGGGAAAUCAACCUCUUGAGUUUGGUCUCGUGGGUUUCGAAGAGUUUNAAAACCCUCCGAAUUUCCAAAAUGGGGCCCUCCNGGUUUNCUUCCCCNUNCGGUUAGUCANCNCCGGUUUUAAAUUUCUUAAAUUAA